UAGGAUAACAAUCAAUGCUGAAGGCUUUGACCAACUCUUCAGUGGAAGGUCUAUUAGCAUCUGCAUCAUCUCUUUUGAAAUAUUCCUCCUCCCCGUGUUCAUCAUAUUCUGCUCCCGAUUGAGAUAACACUUGUAAAGCAAGCUCAUAGAGUGGUGGAUGUAGCCUAGCUGCUUCACUUGUUCCUUUACUUGGACUUGAU
rnacentral:lncRNA from 1 species